UACGGAGGGUGCGAGCGUUGUCCGGAAUCACUGGGCGUAAGGGGCGCGUAGGUGGCCCGUCAAGCGCGCGGUGAAAUCCCCGGGCUCAACCCGGGAACUGCGUCCGAUACUGGAAGGCUUGAAUUCGGGAGAGGGAUGCGGAAUUCCAGGUGUAGCGGUGAAAUGCGUAGAUAUCUGGAGGAACACCGGUGGCGAAGGCGGCAUCCUGGACCGGCAUUGACGCUGAGGCGCGAAAGCCAGGGGAGCAAAGCGGG
rnacentral:rRNA from 1 species